GAUGAACGCUGGCGGCGUGCCUAAUACAUGCAAGUCGAGCGAACAGACGAGGAGCUUGCUCCUCUGAUGUUAGCGGCGGACGGGUGAGUAACACGUGGAUAACCUACCUAUAAGACUGGGAUAACUUCGGGAAACCGGAGCUAAUACCGGAUAAUAUAUUGAACCGCAUGGUUCAAAAGUGAAAGACGGUUUUGCUGUCACUUAUAGAUGGAUCCGCGCUGCAUUAGCUAGUUGGUAAGGUAACGGCUUACCAAGGCAACGAUGCGUAGCCGACCUGAGAGGGUGAUCGGCCACACUGGAACUGAGACACGGUCCAGACUCCUACGGGAGGCAGCAGUAGGGAAUCUUCCGCAAUGGGCGAAAGCCUGACGGAGCAACGCCGCGUGAGUGAUGAAGGUCUUCGGAUCGUAAAACUCUGUUAUUAGGGAAGAACAAAUGUGUAAGUAACUAUGCACGUCUUGACGGUACCUAAUCAGAAAGCCACGGCUAACUACGUG
rnacentral:rRNA from 1 species